UACGGAGGGGGCUAGCGUUGUCCGAAGUUACUGGGCGUAAAGAGCUCGUAGGUGGUUUGUCGCGUUGUUCGUGAAAACUCACAGCUCAACUGUGGGCGUGCGGGCGAUACGGGCAGACUUGAGUACUGCAGGGGAGACUGGAAUUCCUGGUGUAGCGGUGGAAUGCGCAGAUAUCAGGAGGAACACCGGUGGCGAAGGCGGGUCUCUGGGCAGUAACUGACGCUGAGGAGCGAAAGCGUGGGGAGCGAACAGG
rnacentral:rRNA from 1 species